ACAAAUCCUGAUUGUAUCCGAUAGUAUCUAACAUUCUUAUACGGUAUAAUACAUAUGCGUAUAUGGGCUUACUAAUACAAUUAAAGGUAUUGUAUACGAUAUUUUCCAAAAAAUUCAUAGCGCCAAGAUUCGUAGCUAGUUAUGAGUGUAUUACGCAGAAGAUAUUUGAUGCAAGUAAUGGAGUGAAUAAAUCUUGACGUGUAAUGUCACCAAGAAAAAAAAUUAACAAUGAAAGAUAAGACAAUUCUGUGAAACUAUUUACAUUCAAGUGGGGAUAAAACAGGAAUUACUAACUGUGUUCAGAAAAAUGUUGAUAAAAAAAAAGUGCGUAAAUUAAAUAAUUUGUAAUUAAUUUGUUUAUUUUUAUAAUAAGGAAAAAU